ACGCUUACGCAUGGGUCUCGACAAGGAUAUUUCUUUUGGUGCGUAUGCUGGAAGAGGCCACCAUUUGCUUUUGAAUUCCGAACAUUACCUUGUGGGAUCAUAAAGGAUUGGGAUUUCUGGAAUAUUUCCAUUUGUCAGAGGAGAGAACUCUUCUUUUCAAUGGAGCAAGUUCUCUCCAGCCCUCAGGGGUGUUCUGAGUGGGAGGUGAAUGGGAAAGCUGAGUGGGAAUCUGAGCAGAAUCCCCUUGGAUUUCUCCUUAUGGAUAAAGAGAACAGUUCUGUUGAUUCUACUAAUGACGUUUUUCAGGAGAACGCCAUAAACCUAGAUGACUUAUUUUGGUCCUCUCCGUAUUCUGGGCAGACAUAUUCCUGGGAAAAUGGUUUGGAAUGUGUCUAUCCCGAUUGGAAGACUCAGCCUCCUCCUUCCCAAAAUCUCAAAAGAGAGGGUUCUCCUGGAAGUUUGGAAAUUGUUGAUGGAGAUCUCAUCUGUUUUAAUUCUAGAUCUACUAGUCCUACGGUCUUAAAUAUGCAAGUGCAGAAUCAAAACAACUUUUAUGACCUCCCUGAACAGGUGCCUGAUUUUCUGCAACCGGUGGAGGUUACUGCCACUUCAAGCCCUCUAGAUGUGUACACAGGUGAGCUGGGUAUUAUUGACCCACUACUACAAGAAACCCACCUCCUUGAGGACACACAUUUAACAAACGGUGAGUUCAGCCAUAAUUCCAAAACAUUUGUGUACAAUGACAGUCAGAGCUUGCUUCCACACGGGACUCAUCUCACUCUGAAUUCUGAAGGUUUGUUGCCCGUUUCUCUUGUGGAGUUGUCAUGUACAGAUACGAACUCAAAUCCCAAGCCUUCAAUUAUUUGUCAGACACCUCUAUCUACACCAGAACACAUCUACUCAUCCACAGCCCUUCCCUGUGAGCUCACCUCUCCGAAGAUAUGUACAGAACCACCUAUUCUGCCAUAUCACGAGAGUAGUGCACCCCUUCCAAUGGAUGAGGUAGAGAUGUUGUUACCCGGGCUGCUGGUUGGAGGUCUGUACUCUGAACAAGAGAGUAGUAAGCCCUCAGCUAGUAACGACACCCAUGACGAUGAUCUUCAGAGCCAAGAGAUGACAGACACU
rnacentral:lncRNA from 1 species